rnacentral:rRNA from 1 species
UACGUAGGGUGCAAGCGUUAAUCGGAAUUACUGGGCGUAAAGCGUGCGCAGGCGGUUAUGUAAGACAGUUGUGAAAUCCCCGGGCUCAACCUGGGAAUUGCAUCUGUGACUGCAUAGCUAGAGUACGGUAGAGGGGGAUGGAAUUCCGCGUGUAGCAGUGAAAUGCGUAGAUAUGCGGAGGGAACACCGAUGGCGAAGGCAAUCCCCUGGA